CUGACUUUUCAAAGAACACUUAAGUCUCCUCUUCAGUGUCCUCUAGAGUCAUAGAGCUUAUGGAAUGAAUAAGAUAGACAGACAGACAGACGGGCAGACAGACAGACAGACAGACAGACAGACAGACAGAAGGGGCUAUAGUCCAACUAAUUCAACAAUGGCCAGCCAUGAACGGGAAAUAAAUUAUCUUGUUCUUAUGUUGUCAAGUAAUACCUCUACGACACAGAUUCUCCAGGUAGGGCUGACAUGGCUUAGCAGGCAAGAGCAAAGGACCCAGAUUCAGCUUCCAGCACCCACACAGCAGCUCGCAACCAUCUAUAACUCUAAUUCUUUGGGAUUCAACACCGUCUUCUGGCCUUGGCAAGUUAUGCACAAGCAUACGUUCAGACAAAAACAUCCAUACACAUAAAAUAAAAGUAAGAAGAAAAACCUUUAAGAUUCUACAGACACUCAAACUGGUUGACUAGUACUUCCUGAUUGUGGGGAGUUGGAAUGUUGUAGAUCCUCAGCCAGUAUUACCUUUAGUCCCCCUCAGCACCAUUUAUCAUCUACCCUAGUAUCUGCUUUAAUAUCCAUCCACUUGACUGUUAGCUAUAAGUAUAUAAAGAUGGACACUCACUGGGAUUUCUAGAUUCUUAUGUCCCUGAACAAAUGUGAGGACAGAGAUGUAGAUGGCAACAUGGGCAUGAGAUGACAAAGAGAGUUUAUUGACAUUCAUUGGAAAAGAGAAAAGCCAAAUCCCAGAGAGAGAGAUGACACCAUUAAGAGGAAGCAGGACCAUGAAAGUCAAGAAAAUACUUUAUCUUAUGGGCCAUUUGCUCAAAGAUUCAUAUCUAGAUAGGCAGGUAUCUCACUAUCUCAUUAAGUAGUAAAUAGUAUACUACAUGUCUUUUUGACACUAGCCAUGUAGUCAGGGUGCCACAGGUCCUCGGUAGCUAUGCUCCAGAUGCUUGUAUACAGUAAGUCAUGACCUAGUUGAUAAAGUGUGGAAAUUUUGUUUUCAUUCCUGAUCUGUCUCUACAAAAACAUUCCACUAGUCAAGACAAGUCAUGUGGCAAAGCCAGCAUCAAUGGAUCAGGAAUACACCAUCUCUCAUAAUGUCAACAAGGCCACAUGACAGAAUAUUGGAGAUAUAACAUAAUUGGUAGCCAAUCAGGACACGGGGAGGAAAUCAGGACCAGCCAAGCUAACCAGAUGUAGCACUUCACAGCUUGAAUGUGUCACUCAAGCCUGUUGAUUCUGCUCACAUGACGUGUCAGAAUCCCAGACAGUACGUAAGUCUAAUUUUUACUAAUCCCAGACUAUGGCUCCAUUUCCACAAAAUGGACAGGUCAUUUCUGUCUAGAAAGGUCUAGAAAUAUAAAGAAAUCAAAACCCCCUAUUUUAUCUGACCUCUUCCUCAGAGGCAGAAUAUCUUUACUCUAGUCAUUUCCUGUUGCCUCCCUUAGAAAAACAAUUGCUAUUGGUUAUUGUGACAAGUGUUUUAAAAAUUGAAUUGUGUUCAUCUGGUUUAAGAUUUGACUAAUGAGUUUGGAAUCUCACUUUGAGCUAACAUUGUCCAGGCACUUUAAAAAGUCACCUAGAUAACAGAUUGCCUAACAUAAAGAGCUGUGUUUGGUUUCAAGGUAAUUCUAGUUCAUCUGGUGGUUUAUUAGCUGUGAUCAAAUCUGGCUGAAAGUGUCCAGAAGGACAGAGAAAGGGCGGAAAAUCAAAGACCUCACCUUGCCUACAUCUACACAGCCAAGAGUCACCGCGUGCAUUAGUAGAAGCUCCAGCUGUUAGAGGACACAAUUUCAUUCUUCUUUUACAAAAUUGUACAGAGCUGUGAAAUUUCUCAACAGUCUGGUCCUUCCAUUCAUAAUGAUACUUACCUUUGCCUGAUCCAAAGGAUGACAAAAAGCCCUGUCUAAACUAAGAGAUCAGAGGGGGUUCUCACAGGGAUUCCAGGGAGGAAGAAAAAGAAAAUCACCAGCCCCACUCACCUUCUGCGCACUCAUACACAUGCUCUAUUGCUAAGGAUUACAUCAUACUAUAGAUCUUCUCCAAUAUGGGACAGUGACCUCUAAAAAGUCAUCGUGACCCUUUUCUGUUUUUCUGAGACCUUAGAACACAGCACACUUCUAUCCAAUGAAUUUCUUUUCCCACCUGCUCUUAGAAAUCAACCAAGAAAGUACCCUUUAUCCUUACAGACUGCCACAAAACAAGAGACAGAGUCUGCAUUAAAGCAGACACAAGAUAUAGACAUAAGUUGCCUGUUCUGCACCCAUGGAACUUCCUGGACGUCCAUUCGCUUUCUGACCUUUCCUGCCCAUGCUUCAGACGGAGCAACCCAUUCUUCAUGGCCUUCCAGGCUGUCACGUCUGUUGUUCGCCGUCCGUGGACACCAAAGUGGAGAGCUGGCUCUCCUUGAAACAGCUUGAGAAAAAUUCCAAUGUGGCUCCCGGUUCUGACCUCCCGAGGACUUUCGGACAGAGCAAAUACAUCUCUGCAAAGUCAGAUGUUUAAGGCGAAGGCUAAAACGAAGUCCGAGCUUUUACUUUAGACUUUGCCCGUCAGCCUGCCGUCUUCCCAGGCUUACUUCCCGCCUCCCCUCUGUCUUAACCAGAUCACACCAGGCUCUCUCGGUUCCUGCUGCUUUCCCGAAUCCUCAUCCCUGAAGUCUCAGCGCACCUGUCCUGUCACCUCCAUGAAACUCCUGCAUCACCCUGUUUGGACGUAAUCUGAGCUCGCUGGGCUCUUCCUACCUCACGGGGCUUUUCUUCUGCUCUUGUGAUGGUCCGUGUGUGAAGCAAGACCCAUACGAAAAGGAUCCUGUGUAGGAGGCUUGGCCGUGGUUGAGGGCGCCGUUGAAGAUGAUUGAAUGUUAAGUGUGUUAACCUCUCCUGGCUUUUAGAUGAGGCCUAUAGGUUGCCGGGAGCAUCAAUUUGGAAGGUAUCUUUUUUUUUCUUUUAACUUUUUAUUGAUUUUUUUAUGAGUUUUACAUUAUGCACCCCAGUUCUUCUCAGCCCCCUGUCCCUUCAUAUCCACCCUUCGUCCUUGCAACCCCCCCCAAAAAAUAAAAAAUGCACAAAUAAGCAAACAACAACAACAAAAAAUAAGCAAAAAAAACCCAAAGCACAGAAAGCCUCUCAUCACGGAAGCUGGAGGGUGUCCCAGAAUAUAUAUCCCUCUGUUCGUUGCGCUGAGUCAUUGUUCUGGUUAGAGAUCUCUGGCUUCUGUGACACCAUCAAUAUUGGAUCCUCACCGGGCCUCCUCCCAGUUAUCCUGUGUUGGCCUGUGUCAUAGAGAUCUGGCAGCUUUGGAUCAGCAGUCCUGGCCUUUGCAUGUGUCCCAACCAUCCAUAGAUAACGGAUUUUUGGGUGAGUCAACUCAGAGCUUUGGAUCUGGGCCUGGGUGGUAGCUAAGCUGGUCAGAGCCCCCACUCUCCCUUAUCAGCACCACCAGGGCGAGUUCUCCAGCACUGUCCCAGCUAGGACACCCAGUACCACCCAUGCAGGGUCAGCUCUCACGCCCUCCAGGCCAACUCACCUGCACCCCUGCCUCCAGAGUCGGCUUCGCUGUGCUGCCCAGUCAAGGUGUGAGGCCCACUCUCCCUAGUGCUUCACCCAGUGAGAGAAAGAGCCAACUCACCCUUCCUCAUGAUCCCAGCCCAUGCCACCUCAUGGCAGACGAGGGCCAGCUCUCCUUCACUUUUUCCCAGCUCACCUGAGCCACCUCCACUAGGGUGAGCUCUACUGUGCUGCACAGGUGAGGUGUAGGGCCAGCUCACCCACUCUCAUGACCCCAGGGUCAGCUCUCCUAUACUCAUGGGGAGGGGUAUUGACUCACACCUCCAUCACCAGGGUCAGCUGUGUUGUCUGGGUGAGGUGCAGGGCCCAGUGCCACCUGUGACAGGUAGGCCCAACUCUCCAGAGCACAACAGCCAGUGAGAAGCAGGGCCAGCUCUGCAUGGGUCCACCUGGACGUCCACCUGGGCCACAGCAGCUGCCCCAACCGGGGAUGUCCCUAUGUUCCCUAGUGGUAAUAUGAACCACGGACAUCAACACCAACUUCUGCUUCUGUGUAGCCCCAGACCCAGACAUGGCCCUCAGUGGCAACUCAGGCUGGGGCCUCAUCAUGACCCCAGGUGGUAGGACUGGCCACUUACAACGGGCUGCUCCUCUCUCCCCUCGAGUCUCCAUUUUCCUUCCUCUUCCACCUGUCCACCACAUAUUGCACAUUGUGGUGGCUCCCACUGCAGGCUGACCACAAAGCUGACUCCCUGUGGUGAGCCCCCGGGUGACAUCCUCUGGCAAGCAGGUAUCUACAGCUCUCUGUGCCAUGUACUGGAGGGUAGGUCUGUGGGUGGCAUGGCCGUCAGCAGGUCUCUGUCUGUCUUCCUCCUCCCAUGCUGCACUGCCUGGAUUUGACUUGAUAUUUUUUAUAUGUCCUAGGCAUAAAACAGCUUUGGCCACCUUCCUUGAAAUCAAACUAUACUAAACAAAGAACUGCCAUCCACUCUGCCCCUAACAACACUACUGACAAGUGUUCUGCCUCGCUCCGGUCCCACCACGAUGGAGUCAGCCUUCAAUAAACAAAAACCUUCAAGUCAUGGGCCCAAAUACAUCUCUCCCCCACCCCACGACGGCAUCCAUCUCAGAUGCUUUCAGGAGUGAUGUAAAGUGACCAACUCGCUGUCUUAUUCUACAGGCUCUCAUAAAACCCGUCUCCCGGACCGACAAUAAAUUAUCUGUAGUAAGACCUCG
rnacentral:sRNA from 1 species